rnacentral:tRNA from 1 species
GAAAGAGGCCAGAAGCAAUAAGGACUGCUAAUCCUUAUCACCA